GAUGAAGAACGUAGCGAAAUGCGAUAAGUAAUGUGAAUUUCAGAAUUCAGUGAAUCAUCGAAUCUUUGAACGCAUCUUGCGCUCCUUGGUAUUCUGAGGAGCAUGCCUGUUUGAGUGUCAUUAAAUUCUCAACUACACUGACUUUGAAUUGGUGUGGCUUGGAUUUGGGGGGAAAAUUGUUGUGGGCUUUUUGUAUAGUCUUCUCCCCUGAAAUUGAUUAGCGGUACCUUUGUGGAACUGUCUACAGGUGUGAUAAUUAUCUACAUCUUAGACAUCUGCUGGAAUGCUGCUUUCUAAACCUUACUUGUAUUGACAAUCUUGACCUCAAAUCAGGUAGGACUACCCGCUGAACUUAAGCAUAUCAAUAAGCGGAGGA
rnacentral:misc_RNA from 1 species